GGGUGAUAGAUGGAUGUGUUUUCUGUAGUAUCUCCUAUCAAUUGUGGUGGGAGACACAUGACAGGUGUGCAGUGAGAGAUGGUUCUGUGCCGUCGCCGCUUCCCCUGGGCGUGACCGCGGUCAAACUGCUGUUCCAGCCCAAUGGCUUCAGAUACCCAUUUGGCUCAGAGAAGAAAGACUGAGAGAGGAAAAAAGAGGAUUAACAUGAGUAUGUGUGAAUCCGUGUCAGAGUGACUACUCCCUGCUGAUCUCCAUCUGGAUCCUUUGGAGCAACCGUGCCAGUGACAUUUAAAGCCCUGAUGACUGGAG